GUUCACAGUCACUUUAAUCAGAGCAAGUCCAAACUGGAAACAAUCCACAUGUGCAUUGAUUACUCAACAAAUUGCAGCAAAUCCAUAAAGACGAGUGAAUUACAUCAUAUCCACACAGAUGAAUGAAUUACGUCAUAUCCACAAAGAUGAGUGAAUUAGGUCAUAUCCACAAAGACGAGUGAAUUAGGUCAUAUCCACAAAGAUGAGUGAACUACAUCAUAUCCACACAGAUGAAUGAAUUACAUCAUAUCCACAAAGACGAGUGAAUUACGUCAUAUCCAAACAGAUGAAUGAAUUACAUCAUAUUCACAAAGAUGAGUGAAUUACAUCAUAUCCACAAAGACAAGUAAAUUACGUCCUAUCCACAAAGAUGAGUGAAUUACAUCAUAUCCACACAGAGGAAUGAAUUGCAUCAUAUCCACAAAGACGAGUGAAUUACAUCAUAUCCACACAGAUGAAUGAAUUACAUCAUAUCCACACAGAUGAAUGAAUUACAUCAUAUCCACACAGAUGAAUGAAUUGCAUCAUAUCCACACAGAUGAAUGAAUUAUAUCAUAUCCACAAAGAUGAGUGAAUUAUGUCAUAGCCACACAGAUGAAUGAAUUACAUCAUAUCCACAAAGAUGAGUGAAGUAUGUCAUAUCCAUAAAGACGAGUGAAUUACAUCAUAUCCACACAGAUGAAUGAAUUACAUCAUAUCCACAAAGACGAGUGAAUUACGUCAUAUCCACACAGAUGAAUGAAUUACAUCAUAUCCACACAGAUGAAUUACAUCAUAUCCACAAAGACGAGUGAAUUACAUCAUAUCCACAAAGACGAGUGAAUUACGUCAUAUCCACAAGAUGAGUGAAUUACAUCAUAUCCACAAAGACGAGUGAAUUACGUCAUAUCCACAAGAUGAGUGAAUUACAUCAUAUCCACACAGAUGAAUGAAUUACAUCAUAUCCACACAGAUGAAUGAAUUACAUCAUAUCCACAAAGACGAGUGAAUUACGUCAUAUCCACAAGAUGAAUGAAUUACAUCAUAUCCACAAAGACGAGUGAAUUACGUCAUAUCCACACAGAUGAAUGAAUUACAUCAUAUCCACAAAGAUGAGUGAAGUAUGUCAUAUCCAUAAAGACGAGUGAAUUACAUCAUAUCCACACAGAUGAACGAACUACAUCAUAUCCAUAAAGAGGAGUGAAUUACGUACAUUCAACAGCUUGGGUGAAUACCACAAGGACUAAGUUCUGAUUUCCUAUCUUGCCCAAAUUCCUAUCAAAAGUGUCUGGGGAGUCAUGCCCUACAAACUAUCCAUUCUCACCAGAUGUGUUUUAUUUGACCCUAUAUAUCGUGACUUACUUCCCAGUCUCACUCUGGUGUAACAUUAUGAGACAAGGAAAAAAAAAAUGUUUUACGCCAAAAUAUAUUUCCUUGCCAUACCUUGAAAUUGCCCUGCAAAGUUUCUCGCGGGAAAAACCGACAUUCUAUAGAGAAUCCCCUUCCCCUUUGUUUUCCUUCCUUUCCAGAUCCAGGAGAUAAUCAACUAAGAGCCAGGCACCCUUUUAGGUCCAAUAAGAAACAUUUCACAACCUGCUGUCUCUGAAGUCUGCUAUCUGAGAGCUUCCUCUGCACCAAUCAAACUUGGUCUCCACAAUCCUUUAUCUCAACCUGAACAUUCCUUUCCAUGGAUGCCAGGUCUUCAGACAAACUCAACCAAUUGUCAACCAGAAAAUGUUUGAAUUCACUUUGAACUGUCCCACCUUUCUGAACCAAACCGAUGUAUUUCUUAAACGUAUUGAUUGAUGUCUCACGCCUCCCUAAAAUCCAUAAAACCAAGCUGCGCCCCACCACCUCGGGCACGUGUCCUCAGGACCUCCUGAGGGCUAUGUCAUGGGCCAUGGUCACUCAGAUUUGGCUCAGAAUAAAUCUCUUCAAAUAUUUUACAGAGUUUGACUGUUCAUCAACAACUCCAAACGCCAUGCUGCAUGACAGAGGCUAUCCACAAACGCACCUGUUCCACCUACAUGAAGUUCUAGAACAUAACAGAAAUGAUCCACAGAGCUGGGAAUCACAUCAGCGGUUUCCUGGAGCGCAGAGGGUUUUAGCUACACAGGACACGAAGGAGCUCUCUGGGUGAGGGAAACGUUCUGUGUCUGACUAGGAUGGUGCUUACGUGUUGUCUGCAGGAAACCUUCCUUAUAUGUAAUCAAAUGGAGCAGCAAAGUGAAAAGGAGAGACUGGAAAGGGAUCUACCAACAACUCUCAAAAGACGGCCGGAGCGUUUACGUGAUGAUGAGAAAGGAGACUUGAGAGAGUGGCACGGUACGAGGGAUAGAGAGGCCGUUACAUAGUGAGCAGGUGCCCCCUCGCGAGAACACAGCAACCCUGAAUGCAACCUAACAGAGCUUCCAAAUACACGAAGCAAAUGCCAGCACGCCUGCGAGAAGGGGCAAAGCCACGGUUCUCCUUGGUGACUUCAGCUCCCCUCUGAAACCUCCUACACCGUGUAGACAGAACACUGGCCCGGGUGUAGAAGGCCUGAAGGACACCUCAGUAGGCGGGACCUGGCGGGCAUUUCUAGAAUGUUCCCUGAAACAGAGCCGAAAGAUGUCUUCUUUUCAAGGCUGCGUGGAACCCUGAUGAGGACAGACCAUAUGCUGAACCCGAUAACAAGCGUGAAGGAUUUGAAAGCACUGAAAUUAAAUGGAAUACUUUGCUGACUCCAGAGGAAUUCAGUUAGAAAUACAAAACAGAGAUUCAAAAACCUGACAAAAUAGGCACGUCAUAGAAGAAACGUGAACAGCCGAUAAACGUGUGAGAAGAUGCCCCAACUCAAGUAACUAGAGAAAUGCAAUUUAAAACACAGAGAGAACUGUAUUCCCACCAGACUGGCAAAACUUAAGAACCCUUGGUACAGGGGGGAGAAUCGGAGCCCUGAGAGGAGGUAACGUCGAUGCAACCACGUUGGCAAACCCUUCGUCAGCAGCUCAUUGAGCCGACCACGCACCCUUCCUUCCCACGGCAGAGCGGGAGCUCCUGGGUCAGCCUCCCUGCCAAAGUCUGUUCACAGCAGCCCCGAGCUGGCGACGGGUAAAUAAGAUGGUGGAGCCACGCGGCGGAGCCCGCAGCACAGUGGCCGCGCAGCGAGCAAUGACCCGGGAUCGGG
rnacentral:lncRNA from 1 species